rnacentral:rRNA from 1 species
AGUGAACGCUGGCGGUAGGCCUAACACAUGCAAGUCGAACGGCAGCACAGUAAGAGCUUGCUCUUACGGGUGGCGAGUGGCGGACGGGUGAGGAAUACAUCGGAAUCUACUUUUUCGUGGGGGUUAAAGAAGGGAACUUAACGUUAAUACGGCUUCCGACCUCCGGGUGAAGGCAGGGGAGCUUCGGACGUUGCGGGUGUGAUUGAGCCGAUGUCGGUUUAGCUAGUGGGCGGGGUAAAGGCCCACCAAGGCGAGGAUCCGUAGCUGGUCUGAGAGGAGGAUCGCCCGCACUGGAACUUGAACACGCUCCAGACGCCUACGGGAGGCACCAGUGGGGAACGUUGGACAGUGGGCGCAAGCCUUAUCCAGCGAUACCGCGUGGGUGAAGAAGGCCUUCGGGUUGUAAAGCCCUUUUGUUGGGUAAGAAAAGCAGCAGGUUAAGACCCCGCUGUUCUGACGGUACCCAAAGAAUAAGCACCGGCUAACUUCGUG